CUUGCAUUUAUACACAUAAAGCUUUGCUAGCUUUAGCUACUUUUUAUUAAUCGCUGGUAAAGACGUUUCUGGUCAAACUACCGUAACUCCAAUAACUCAAUAAUCACUUUUGGGUAAAACCGUCACCAAUUAAUCAGGAUGAUCAAUUUCGUUGAAGACCCAUUCCAUCACCCUUUGGCAUCAUCAUAAUAAUCAUCCUCAUCAAGUGCUUUACUGUGUUUACCUGCUCAAUGCUUUUCCAAAGUAAUCGCGUGUCAAUCCCUUGAGGCCUUUUUAAACAAUUUGUCUUACUUUUUUGGUUGAUCAUCACUCUUUUCAAGCCAAAGGACAAAAGACAGCACACAAUGGUCAACCAGUUUCACCAACCUUUCACUUUUUGAUCAACCCUUGAAGUUUAAAAUUCAGAGCUGCUUCAUGAAUUACCAAAGCUUUAACCGAGAUUUAAUUAUCCCUGAAAGUUGGUCUUGUUUUUUGGGGUGAUAAUCAGGUUGGAAGGAUCAAUUGAAGAGUCAAAGAGGAUCAAAUGGUUAGGGUUGACCAAAGGACUAAAUUGAUGAUUUUACAGUAAAGAAAAGCGAAACUCUUGGAUCUAUUGAAUUAAGAUCGUUUGGAGAGCGACAAGAUAAAGAAAAAGAUUUCCUGAAAAACCAUUAUUAAUGCUAAUGAGGUUGAUUGAAUAAGUAAGCGAUGAAACUGAUGAUGAUACUGGAAAAUAAUAAUAAUAUAAAUUGAAAUGGUCAUUAAUUUGACAUUAAUGUCUGUGAGCUUUUAUUUAUUUGAAUUGCUCAUUGUAAGUGAUUACAAGUAAUAAUAUGAUAUAAAAAAAAGGGACUGAAACUUGAAGCUGAUACAAAAGCAUGAAGGAAAGUGGCACCGAAAGUGGCUUUAAUUUGUUAUGAUGGCCAAAAUGGGGAUUCCCUUUAAUAGACAUUUGUUGGAAUAUUUCACUUUUUAUCUUCCUCUUCAUCCUCAUGCUCUUCCUUUUUCCUCUCCAUCUUACAUGGAUUAUUGUAAGAUUACUUGUAAGAUUUAUUCCCAGAAGAUGUGCUUUUACUUUUUGUUUCAUCUUGCCAUCAUCAUCAACAAUACAAGGAGAGGAAAGGGUUUCAGCCAUUAAAAAAGAGCAAGAAAAAGCCAACCAUGGAUGGAACCGAUUGACGAUCUAGAAAAUGAUUUGUGACCAAUUCAACUCUAAUCAUAUCAUCAUUAAGUCAAUGUUAAUUGUCUUAAGGUUAGACAAUUGUUGAACCUUACAUUGGCAAUGAUUGUAAAUCAUUUUUGAUUUUAUAAUUUGGUGCAAUUUUCAAAAGGUUCAUAACAUUAGCUUCAUUUGUUAGGUAAUUUUUCAGCCUUUUCAGAGUUCCUUUUGAUUUAAGGUUUUCCUUGAGCCUCAUUUUUGGCUUCCCUGGUAUUGUUCAAACCUUUAAUUGUAUUGUACACAAACACACACAAUGUUGCCUUCCUUCAAAUUAAACAAAUCCGCUUGAAAAGCAAGCUUUAAUCAAGAUGAAUUUCAUGAUGUUGAUGAUGGUGGAGAAAAAACUAGAAACUGAAGACAAAGAAAAGUAACUUUUUUUGAAUUGAAGGAGGUAAACACUGUGUUCAAAGAUGCCUUAGUUAAGAUGAUGGUUUUUUACUGUUGAAUUUUCUUGCUCAUAACACUAACGACAAUCAAGUCAUUUAUUUCAUCUCAAGAGGACUAAAUGAAAAAUAAUUUGACAAUAAUUUGAUAAUAAAUAUGUUUCCUUCAAACAUUACCUUCAAAUCAUAUCGAGUGAAAUGGUGAUAUUUAAACACUGAUUAGUUUUUCCAAAGAACGCUGUUCACUUUUUUCCUAUUCAAUUUCAAUUUGGAUUCCGAUUGAAUUUGUAUUGUAAAUAUCAAUAUGAUUUACUUUUACCAUUCAUCUUGUCAAGUUACCAUUCAAACAUUGAACCUUUCCAUUCAUUGAUUAUUCAACUGAUUUGUUAUAAAUAUGUAAAACAAGACACAAUUUUGUAUUUAUUAUCAUUGUUUUUUCUUACUUCAACAUUUAUCAUCUUGUCAUAUCAAGAUAAACUGUUUUUUAUCAUUUAUUCACACAUGAAUCUGAAUGAAAAAUAGCCUGGAAAAGGUGAAAACAAAGUCAAACUGGAAAAAUGUGAAUCAACAUUGGAAAAAGAGAGAACACGAUUUACAUGAAAAAUUGGUUGACAAUUGAGUGUAACUUUAUUAAUUUACAUGUGAAUGGAACAUCAAAUUUUAAUGAAUCAAGUCAAUUGUAACUGUUGUUGACUUGCUUUGGUCAAAUUGCAAUUUGAUUGACAUUUUCAAUUGUUUCAACAUUUCGUCUCCUUUUACCUUCCAACUCAACUUUUACUCCUAAUUGUAUUUAAAUUAAUCAGCCAAAUUAAAUUGUAAAAAGCAUCUUAAA